rnacentral:lncRNA from 1 species
CUGCUUCCUGGUUCUCCAGCCAGUCACACAUUUCUUCUUGUUGCCAGAGGCUGAUGACCUGGGACUUUCAAGGGGAGGAGGCCCGGAGGGCAGGGCCUGCAGCCUGCAGUGGGCAGGGCCGGGCAGGGCCUGCAUGCUUGCUCUCCGCAUAAAAGCUCAACACUUGCCCCCCAUCGGGACUCUACUGCAGACAGUAGCCCUGAGCCUCCACCUGGCAGGGAGUUCUCAGCUCCUGGCAUCUGUGAGGAAGGAAAGGAGGGAGCUCUCUGUGCUGUGAGGAAGGUGUUUCUGAGUCUGAGAGAUGGUCUGCGUGUGGGGAGGCAAGAUGCCAGCUCAGAGGAGUUUUGGGGCCCGAUUCUGCCUCCUGCUGUUCCUCUCUGUGGCCACCAGAGGGCAGAGUGCAGGUAAGUCUCUGAGGAGCAGCAAUUUCUUCAGCUGCCCUGAGGUGUGCAGUGGAGCAGAGGGACUAGAGCUGGGCUGCAGGCUGAAGUCCUAACACAGAGGGGAAGUCAUGGAGAUGCACAGAGGCCAACUUUGCAGCCAACCUGAUGUGUCCUGGGUGCUGAUUGCUGGCUUCUCCGAGGGUCUGGAUUGAGGAAGGUAGGGUGUUAGUUAAGCCACACCCUGGGGCUCCACUCUGUGUGUUAGGUUGGCUGGCAGGCUCAGGGGAGCCAUGGUAAAGUCUGUUCCGUUGUUGCUACUCCUUCUCCUAUGGCCUUGGCCUGGGGAUUCCCUGAAGGAGCUGGUGGUCAGGGCUGUAUGACAGAGGAGGCUCAGGGGCGGCAUGGUAAAGACUGCCCCCUUCUGGGUGAGCUAGGGGAGGAGAGAGAGAAAUUAGGAGUUUGGAAUUAAUAUGCACAUGCUACUGUAUAUAAAAUAGUCCAACAACAAGGACCUUCUGUCUAGCACAGGGAACUAUACUCAAAAUCGUGUAAAAACUUAUAAUUGAAAAGAAUCUGAAAAAGAAUAUCUAUAUGUAUAUCUCCAAAUUACUUGGCUAUACUCUAGAGACUAACACAAUAUUAUUAAUUAACUAUAUUUUAUUUUUUUCUAAAAAAGACUGUUCCCGGAGUUCCCGUCAUGGCGCAGUGGUUAACGAAUCCGACUAGGGACCAUGAGGUUGCGGGUUCGAUCCUGGCCUCGUUCAGUGGGUUAAGGAUCUGGUGUUGCCGUGAGCUGUGGUGUAGGUUACAGACACGGCUCGGAUCCCGCG